rnacentral:rRNA from 1 species
GACGAACGCUGGCGGCGUGCCUAAUACAUGCAAGUCGAGCGGACGGAUGGGAGCUUGCUCCCAGACCGUCAGCGGCGGACGGGUGAGUAACACGUGGGCAACCUGCCUGUAAGACUGGGAUAACUCCGGGAAACCGGGGCUAAUACCGGAUAACUCUUUCCCUCACAUGAGGGCAAGCUGAAAGAUGGCAUCUCGCUAUCACUUACAGAUGUGCCCGCGGCGCAUUAGCUAGUUGGUGAGGUAACGGCUCACCAAGGCGACGAUGCGUAGCCGACCUGAGAGGGUGGUCGGCCACACUGGGACUGGGACACGGCCCAGACUCCUACGGGAGGCAGCAGUAGGGAAUCUUCCGCAAUGGACGAAAGGCUGACGGAGCAACGCCGCGGGAGUGAUGAAGGUUUUCGGAUCGUAAAACUCUGUUGUCAGGGAAGAACAAGUACCGGAGUAACUGCCGGUACCUUGACGGUACCUGACCAGAAAGCCACGGCUAACGACGUGC